rnacentral:rRNA from 1 species
CCUUGAGACUCCUACGGGAUGCAGCAGUAGGGAAUCUUCGGCAAUGGACGAAAGUCUGACCGAGCAACGCCGCGUGAGUGAAGAAGGUUUUCGGAUCGUAAAGCUCUGUUGUAAGAGAAGAACGAGUGUGAGAGUGGAAAGUUCACACUGUGACGGUAACUUACCAGAAAGGGACGGCUAACUACGUGCCAGCAGCCGCGGUAAUACGUAGGUCCCGAGCGUUAUCCGGAUUUAUUGGGCGUAAAGCGAGCGCAGGCGGUUAGAUAAGUCUGAAGUUAAAGGCUGUGGCUUAACCAUAGUACGCUGUGGAAACUGUUUAACUUGAGUGCAGAAGGGGAGAGUGGAAUUCCAUGUGUAGCGGUGAAAUGCGUAGAUAUAUGGAGGAACACCGGUGGCGAAAGCGGCUCUCUGGUUUGUAACUGACGCUGAGGCUCGAAAGCGUGGGGAGCAAACAGGAUUAGAUACCCCUGUAGUCCU